rnacentral:rRNA from 1 species
CGGCCUGCAUAGGCAUGCAGUCGAGCGGGAUCUAACGAAGCUUGCUUUGUUAGUGAGAGCGGCGAACGGGUGAGGAAUACUUGGGUAAUUUGCCCUAAAGUCUGGAAUAGCUUCGGGAAACUGGAGGUAAUGCCGGAUGUGAUCGAGUGCCACAAGGUACUCUGUUUAAAGAGGGGGAUCUUCGGACCUCUUGCUUUAGGAUAGGCCCGAGUCCUAUCAGCUUGUUGGUGAGGUAACGGCUCACCAAGGCUAAGACGGGUAGCUGGUCUGAGAGGAUGGUCAGCCACACUGGGACUGAGAUACUGCCCAGACUCCUACGGGAGGCUGCAGUCGAGAAUCAUUCACAAUGCACGAAAGUGUGAUGAUGCGACGCCGCGUGAAGGAUGAAGGCCUUCGGGUUGUAAACUUCUGUCAGAAGGAAAGAACGGUCAUUGGUUUAAUACGCCUUUGAUUUGACGGUACCUUCAGAGGAAGCCACGGCUAACUCUGUGCCAGCAGCCGCGGUAAUACAGAGGUGGCAAGCGUUGUUCGGAUUUACUGGGCGUAAAGGGUGCGUAGGCGGUCGCGUAUGUCAGGUGUGAAAGCCCAUGGCUCAACCAUGGAACUGCACUUGAAACUGCGUGACUCGAGU